GUGUCAGCAGCCGCGGUAAUACAGAGGGUGCGAGCGUUGUCCGGAAUCACUGGGCGUAAAGGGCGCGUAGGUGGCGCUCCAAGUCCGUGGUGAAAGCUCGAUGCUUAACAUCGAGUCGGCCACGGAUACUGGGGGGCUCGAGCACUGUAGGGGCAGAUGGAAUUCCGGGUGUAGCGGUGGAAUGCGUAGAGAUCCGGAAGAACACCGGUGGCGAAGGCGGUCUGCUGGGCAGUUGCUGACACUGAGGCGCGACAGCGUGGGGAGCAAACAGGAUUAGAUACCCUGGUAGUCCACGCCGUAAACGAUGGGCACUAGAUGCUUGGGGGAGCGACCCCCUGAGUGUCGUCGCUAACGCAGUAAGUGCCCCGCCUGGGGAGUACGGCCGCAAGGCUGAA
rnacentral:rRNA from 1 species